GAAAGAAUGAUUACAGCCAAUAUCUGUUGUUUCACACACACACACACACACACACACACACACACACACACAUAUAUAUAGAGAGAGAGAGAGAGAGAGAGAUGGAGCCAUGUUCAGUGGAUAAAAGGCACUCCAGGCCAUUGAUGUUUCAGUAUCUAGAAGCAGCCCCCUCUCUAGCUCCAAACGAGAUCAAAUGGGAUUAUUCCCGCACCAUCUGUCAGAGGCUAAAAGAGAGCCAGGAGUACCCACGAACAUCUUCACUGUCUUGUUGCUUAUUGUUGAAUUCAGCAGCAGCUCACUUCAAAAAGAAAAAGAUGAUUUGAAAACCAGCAGCUGCUGAAGACUAGUUGCCACAUACAGCUUCCUUCAUCCGUGAGAAGCUUUUUCACAGUUAGAAGGACUGUCCCAAGGUGACUAAGUCAGGUGAGCACAAAGGCACUAGAAUGCACAAAUCAAGAGCAGGCCAGACAGCCCUUUCUCUUUUUAUGUGCCUCAGUCCAUUCCGGUCUUAUCCGCCGACGCAGACAUAAACAUCGUCACCAGUCACUUCAUUUCAGAUAUUUGGCUUCUGUGUCCAUGAUAAAUAACCUAAUAAAGAUGAAGUGCAAGGCUAAAGUUAACUUAGUCCCUGUGGAACGCCUUCCCAUCAGAUGUCAAGGAAAUAAACAACUACCUGACUUUUAGAAGACAUCUGAAGACAGCCCUGUUUAGGGAAGUUUUUAAUGUUUGAUGUUUUGUUGUGUUUUUAAUAUUCUGUUGGGAGCCACCCAGAGUGGCUGGGGAAACCCAGCCAGAUGGGCGGGGUAUAAAUUCUUAUUCUUAUUCUUCUUCCCUCACAGACAAGCUUUCAGGGGCCACAUGCUAGUGAUGGGUAGGGAAAGAGAGAAAAGUGAGCAGAGCAACAAAUGCAUCCCUUAUCUUUGUAUAUUGCUGCCACAGUCAGAAAUUUCUAUGCAUCCACAUGCACCUCCAUCCUCUCUCCGAGCAAGCAAGAGGCAUUAUCAGAGUUCAAGGGCACAUUCCAGCCAGGAAUUCAUCCCUGGUCUUGCCUAAUGUCCUGGACUGGUAGGAUGCAGAGGAAUGGUGGAAGGUACCAGGGGAAGAAGGCUCAGGGCCCGGGGAAUGGCAGUGGGACAAUGAUGAAUGGUCAGAGGGAGAAGACUGGGAAGAUAGCUGAAGCUAGUUGGUAGCUGAAGCGGUAACAGGGCUUAGUUAGAAGGGAGAGUCCGUGGUAGAGAGAAGUCCAGAAUCAGUAGCGGAAGUGGAAGCAGGAGAGUGGGAUGAGGGAAGCCAAGAGGCAGAGAUGAGGCAGGCUGGUAAAGAAGCAGAGGGGCCUCUCCCUCCUGCUGCAAUAAGCUCCCCUUCUCCCUGGGCUCCCAGGACCACAAGAGGCAUGCAGCAGGAGGAGCAAAGGCAGGCACACCAGUGCAGCCUCAGAUUGCUUGGGAAAGACACGGCAGAGAAGGAGACUUAGGCAGCUCUAGCUGCAUGCCUUGUAUCUUAUUUCCAGCUGAUGUAGACUAGUACGAAACAGUAGUAUCAUUCUGGAGACACUGUCCUUUUGAGGCUUUUGAGAUGUCUUCUGUUGAAACUUUUGAAAGACUAUUGUGAGACUGUCCUUAGAAAUCUGUUUUGGAACACACGGCUUGACGGUCCUCGCUUCCACUCCGUUAUAUUGUACAUAUGAACUUUGACUGACUUAUUCCUACAGUUUGAAUGAUAUCAUUAUUCUAUUAUAUAUUCUCUACUAACAAUUAGCCUACGUGUUGUGUUUGUAUUGUUGUGAUUGGUGCUUAUUAGGCCUGGCACUCCUGUGCAGAUCCUGUUUCUUCUAAUGAAGAGUUAACUUCACUUACUCUGUGUCAUUUAUUGCUGGCUUGCUCCUGACACCUAAGGCCACCUAGUGAGUUUGUGGCAGAUGCGAUAUUCGAAAUGGGGGCUUCCUGAUUUGUAGCUCGGGUUCUUUAGCCAGUACUCUGCAUCAGCUCUGAACAUAUGGCGUUUAAUGAAAUUUCCCUCUUUUAAAACAGGCUUUGCACUGACCACCUACGGCCCUGUUCUCUCUUGGGCUGCUGGUGCAGGUGAGGGAAUAAGGAGAUUUAAUGAGUAGCUUAAAUUAUUGUCAAGGCAUGGAAAUCCAAGGAGCUGCAUUAUAUUUUGCUAGCAGCAAGUAGUAAGUGUUUAAAAUCAGGAUCUGAGAGAGUCAUGUGAAAUGUGACGUGCUAUUAUUAACAGAAGGAAUUUCAAUGAGAAAGAUGUUUCUUGAGUGGUACUUGCUUGCUACUUACCUAGCUCAACAGCAUCUCAUUUUGAUCAAAGCGCUUUGGCAGUGAAACAGAAAGAGAAUAGCCUUUUAGAAGAACAUCUGUGAGAUUUUUCAUAAUUUGACAGGCCUCCCCCAUAUUUGCUCCUCCUUAAGCCCAGUGGGACCAGUCUUUAGCCAAUACUAGAAGCUUUGGGAAAAUUAAAAGAGCUACAGGAAUGAGAACUGUAUGACUCGUUCAGCUUGAUGAGAAACGGAACUGACAGUGAAGUCUAGAUCUGAUUUCACUUGAACAAGUUAAAGUAAUUAAUCUUAAUUGAAACUGAAAUAAAUGGAAUAGGUUAAGGCUUCGUUUAUAUCUUAUGGGGAAAAGCAGAAUUGGAGAUGUACUAUGUUUAAAAACAGUCCAUUACAACAAGAGGGGUUUGAGGAAGACAUAAAACAGAAUGUAUCCCGUUAUGAAGUAUUAAUAAUAAUAAUAAUAAUAAUAAUUUAUUAUUUAUACCCCCGCCCAUCUGGCUGGGUCUCCCCAGCCACUCUGGGCAGCUCCCAGCAGAAUAAUAAUAAUAAUAAUGCAAUAAAACACCAAACAUUAAAAACUUCCCUAAACAGGACUGCCUUCAAAUGUCUUCUAAAAAUCAGAGUUCCUUGACAUCUGAUGGGAGGGCAUUCCACAGGGCGGGUGCCACUACCGAGAAGGCUCUCUGCUUGGUUCCCUGUAAACUCACUUCUCACAGUGAGGGAACCACCAGAAGGCCCUAGGAGCUGGACCUCAGUUUCUGGGCUGAACGAUGGGGGUGGAGACGCUCCUUCAGGUAUACUUGGCCAAGGCCGUUUAGGGCUUUAAAGUUUGAAGCAAACAAUAUAACUACUUAAUCUUUAUUGGUGGACCCUUUAGAGAUGUUCUACACAUUGUAGAAUCUGACAAGGCAGAGUUAGGUAGAAUUCAAGGUUGUACCGCUUUAAAGUGUAGCCGAAUGUUCACGUGUGCAAAUUGUUUUAUGCAUUUAGGCAAUUCGCUUAUUCAGGAAGAGGGCAAGGAUUUCUUUACUUAAAAGAAAUGCAAGAGAGCAUUCAAAAAUAUGAUUCUCCCACCCACACCUGCAUUCUGAAGUGGUACAGGUCAGAACUCUACUGCAACUGUCUAUUGUGCAAUACAUAGAUCAAAUCAAGGUUAAAUGACUAAAAUAGGAAGAAACCUUGAAGUGUCAACUGGUAGAGCACAUUAUAAAUAACUGCUUUGUUACUUGUCUUUAGCUUGAUUCUUCCCUCUGUCUCACUGCCUUUCAGCUCAGCUCAGAUAAUUUCUAAAACUAAUUUUGGAGUUGGCGUAUUCAUGUUGGGUUUGCUGCAGCUUUGAGUUUGUGGCAUAAUUUUCUUAGAGGUCACUGACAUGCAUUGAUUAAAGUGCCACGCAGAUGAAAUAUUGAUGCAGUCAUAUUAUUAGAUCAGAGCUCUUUUUGUAGUGUGAUUUAAUCAACGCACACAUAAAAUUGUGCGGACAUGCAUAUUGCUUAAAUCGCAAUACAAAAAGGAAUUUUUUUAAUGCAAUUAAGUAAUCACAGCAAGCUUGCUUUCAAAGUGGAGUUUUAUCCCAUACACAUUUACCUGGAAGCUCUAGUAAUUGCAAUUCAGCUUGCUUCUGAGUAGAUAUGUAUAGGAUUGUGCUGUUCAUCAAUGUGCAUAUGCACUAGCAAUCUGUAAGGAAAAGAAAACACAAACACUGCAGUUAACUAUGUCUACACAACCAUCUUAACAGCACAGAGAAUGGC
rnacentral:lncRNA from 1 species